rnacentral:rRNA from 1 species
GACGGGGGAUGCAAGUGUUAUCCGGAAUCACUGGGCGUAAAGCGUCUGCAGGUGGUUUCCUAAGUCCACUGUUAAACCUUGAGGCUCAACCUCAAAUCUGCAUUGGAAACUAGGAGACUUGAGUAUAGUAGGGGUAGAGGGAAUUUCCAGUGGAGCGGUGAAAUGCGUAGAUAUCAGGAGGAAUACCGGUGGCGAAGGCGGCAUCCUGGACCAUUACUGACGCUGAGGCGCGAAAGCUAGGGGAGCAAACGGG